CCUCGUCUGGCCGCGGGCCCAACCCCACCGCGGCCGCCGGCUCUGCGUCACCCGCCCUCGCCCGGGUUUUGUGAAGUUUCCCUGACGUGGCGGUCGCUUCGUGGCAGUCGGUCACUGCGCGGUCGCCGCUGGGCCCGCGAUGGAUGGUCGCUCCGGGAUCUGCAAAAGCGGGCGGCGUCCUCGUCUUCCUCUCGGCCCGGCCCCGCGGAGGCCGACCUUUCGCCGAGCCCGUCCGGGGUCCCCCGGCGCUCGCGGGUAUAGGGAGGAUCGGCGCGGCCGGAAGCGGCCCGGCCCUACCCGCUGCCGGAGGCCUCCGGGACCCCCGGGCCUGAGAGUCCAGAGGGGCCCGGGCCCUGGCUGCCCGCGCGCUGCGUGGCGGGGUUGUGGGCAGCUUCGCUGGGAUCGAGUAGCUGAUGGGGUAAAGACAUUGCCUGAUCUGUAAAAUAGGAGUGAUGAUAGUACCCACUUGGUUUUAUGAAGAUAACUUCCAUAAAAGCACUGAAGAGCCUGAAAUAUUGUGUGCACUCAAUCAUUAUAUAUUAUCGGUAACCAAUCACCUACAUUUGGGAAACCAUGUGACCUCUGAUGUAACUUCAGCCUGAGUGGCAGGUACAGAACAGCCUCCAGAAACCCUGUAAUGCAACAUUCCUCUUUCUCUCCAUGAUUGGCACC